AUUCAUAGCUUAACAGUUAAUCAAAAUCACCAACCGCAGAGCGGGACCUCCAUUUUUGAAUCUUUUUAACUUUUUCUCUAUCUCUGGUUUUCCAUUUCAGGAUCUUAAUGCUAACCCAAACCCGCUUACUCAUAAUAAUACUACAGUCUCUCUAUCUAUUCUUCUCACAAUUUCUUCUUCUUCUUCUUCUUCUUCCUUUUGCCGGCCAUAUUGCCACCUACAUUUGUCAGAUCUGUUUGUCCUUACACAUACACUCUCUCUCUUCAGAGAAAUCUAGGGUUUUUGCUUGUUCUCUCUCGCUUCCUUGUAUGCAGACGCAUCCUAAUUCAGAUUGAAUAUUAGGGCCUUCCAUCCUGAGUCAAACCCUAGUUUCUUUCGUAAUGCCAACCUCACGAAGCUUAAUUUCAUGUUUUAGUUCGAGCAUAAUGCCAGUUUAGUAUCAGAAAUCACCACUGGCGGAAAUCGGAAUUCUGAAAAUUUUUUAAUAAUGCAGAGCUCAGCCAGCUCAGUAGCGCAACCUGAGGCCAUAUUGGAGUGGCUUCAAAAGGAGAUGGGGUAUCGGCCGUUGGGACCGUACAGUGCCCCUACGAACAAAUCGCAAUUGCCCUCCACUGAUGCGCUUCGGAAGAUUUGUCGGGGAAAUAUGAUACCCGUUUGGAAUUUCUUGAUGAAAAGGGUGAAAUCGGAGAAAACCGUGGAGAGUAUAAGGAAGAAUAUAAUGGUGCACGGUGGUGUUGAGAGUGGCAGUUCAGUAAAUUUGGGAAAGGAGGAGGGUCGGAGUAAAGGAGCGAGGAGGAAAGAGAAGGUGUUGGGGGAGAGUUCUAGCUCGGCAGAGAGUAGGGAGGCUGCUUUGCAAGAAAGGGAAAUGGCAGCAAAGGAGGUGGAGAGGUUGAGGAACAUUGUGAGGAGGCAGAGAAAAGAUUUGAGGGCAAGAAUGAUUGAGGUCUCAAGAGAGGAGGCUGAGCGGAAGAGAAUGCUUGACGAGCGUGCAAAAAACAGGCAUAAGCAGGUGAUGUUGGAGGUUUAUGAUCAGCAAUGUGAUGAAGCAGCAAAAAUAUUUGCCGAGUAUCAUAAACGUCUUUCUCAUUAUGUUAAUCAAGCAAGGGAUGCUCAAAGGUCAAGUGUUGACUCUUCCAUUGAAGUAGUUAGCAGUUUUAGUGCAAACAGUGAGAAGGAAGCUGUGUAUUCAACUGUUAAGGGCACUAAAUCUGCGGAUGAUGUCAUACUUAUUGAAACAACUAGAGAAAAACAUAUUCGGAAGGCAUGUGAAUCUCUUGCUGUUCAUAUGAUUGAGAGAAUCCGCAACUCCUUUCCAGCUUAUGAAGGAAGUGGUAUUCAUUUGAAUCCUCAAUUAGAAACAGCAAAGUUGGGUAUUGAUUUUGAUGGAGAAUUACCAGAUGAGGUUAGAACUGUUAUUGGAAAUUGCUUGAAGAAUCCUCCACAAUUACUUCAGGCAAUUACAGCAUACACUUUACGACUGAAAACACUGAUUUCUAGAGAAAUAGAGAAGAUUGAUGUCAGAGAAGAUGCAGAAACCUUAAGAUACAAGUAUGAGAACAACCGAGUAAUGGACAUUUCUUCUUCUGAUGUGAGCUCACCAUUAAAUUAUCAACUUUAUGGCUAUGGAAAGAUUGCAGCAGAUGUGCCCUCUAAAGGAACUCAAAAUCAACUUCUUGAACGACAGAAAGCUCAUGUUCAGCAGUUUUUAGCUACUGAAGAUGCAAUUAACAAAGCUGCAGAAGCUAGGGACAUGUGUCAAAAGCUUAUAAAACGCUUGCAUGGAAGUGCUGAUGUAGUUUCAUCACACUCACUUAGUGUUGGAGGCACAUCACAGAACAUGGGCGUCAGGCAAUUUGAGUUGGAGGUUUGGGCCAAGGAGAGAGAAGCUGCUGGACUAAGGGCAAGCCUGAGUACCUUGACAUCUGAAAUUCAGCGAUUGAAUAAACUGUGUGCAGAGAGGAAAGAGGCUGAAGAUUCUUUGAGGAAGAAGUGGAUGAAAAUUGAAGAGUUUGAUUCACGCAGAUCUGAACUUGAAGCCAUAUACACUGCUUUACUGAAGGCUAACAUGGAUGCAGCUGCAUUUUGGCAUCAACAGCCAUUGGCUGCAAGGGAAUAUGCGUCAAGUACCAUCAUUCCAGCAUGUGCAAUUGUUGCAGAUAUUGCAAACAAUGCAAAAGAUCUUAUUGAUAGAGAAGUUACUGCGUUCUCUCAGAGUCCUGAUAAUAGCCUGUACAUGCUUCCUUCAACGCCUCAGGCACUCUUGGAGUCCAUGGGUUCUAGUGGAUCCACAGGACCUGAAGCUGUUGCUGCUGCAGAGAAAAAUGCUGCUUUGUUGACUGCAAGAGCUGGUGCUCGGGAUCCAUCAGCAAUUCCAUCCAUCUGUCGUGUAUCUGCUGCCCUUCAAUAUCCUUCUGGUCUGGAGGGUUUUGAUGCUGGUUUAGCAUCAGUGCUAGAGUCUCUGGAGUUCUGCUUGAAACUUCGUGGCUCUGAGGCUAGUGUAUUGGAGGAGUUGGCAAAGGCAAUCAAUCUUGUCCACAUACGACAGGAUCUUGUUGAAAGUGGUCAUGCAUUAUUGAAUCAUGCAUACCGUUCUCAACAAGAGUAUGAAAGUUGUUCACUAUGCCAUGCAGGACUACAAAUUAUUGUCUAAGCUUGGCUUCUGAGCAAGAAAAAAUUGUCACUGAGAAAUGGUUACCUGAACUUAAAACAGCAGUUAUGAAUGCUCAGAAGUGCUUGGAAGAUUGCAAAUACGUGCAAGGUUUGCUUGAUGAGUGGUGGGAGCAACCGGCAUCUACUGUUGUUGACUGGGUCACUGUUGAUGGACAAAAUGUUGCUGCUUGGCACAAUCAUGUCAAGCAACUUUUUGCAUUUUAUGAUAAAGAGCUCUUGUAAAAACUAUCGAUUACCAGUGCCAAAGAACUCCUAGUUCAGUUGCUCAUACUUGGACAUUUUGCCAUAGCUGUGCUGUUAUGUAAAAAUUACUUCAGCAAGUACUGUUGGAAGCAUGAAAAAAUCCUUGGAGAUGCAAAUGAAGACAUUUAAGAGAAUCUUUCGAUUUGUUAUGUAGAGUGAGGAUGGUGGUUGGAUGCAUUUUGAAUGGUAGCCACGGAUGCAUCUUCUAUCGAGAGAAGGGGGACAGUGAUUAGGCAUUUUCCAUUCACGAUUCAAAUCAAGGGCAUAAUCUAUUGAUUUAGGAGGUACAAGAGAUAUUCCGGGAGGAUCUCGCAUGCUUUGAGGGUCUUAUGUUUGGGAGAAUUGUUAAGUUUUCACCACUAAUUUUGUAUAGAAUGGAUCUUCAAUAUAAAUUAUAAUGUCUUGUAUGUUAGCCAUUUGUUGUUCUUGGGUUGUGAGUUGGUUUGAGGCUUUUCAAUAAUGCCAUUUAAAAAGUUGUAAUUCUAACCAUUUGUAUUUGUAGCUUAAUCUGCUUCACUACAACUAUUUUUUUUUUUUUAAUUGAAUCGAAGGGUCUUAUGUUUGGGAGAA